rnacentral:lncRNA from 1 species
UAUAGAAAUUAUUUUCACAGGAGGAAGAGGCAGUGAUGACUUGCGGAGAAUUUCGCCAGAGCAGUAGGCCACACUCGAACCGGCGACGGGAACUCGAACCGGAGUCAACCUUCAAUUGAGAUGCGUGUCCGUAUAAAUGGUGUUGUGAUUUCUUUGCUAAUUAACUUUGGAUUCCUAUUCUAAUUGUUCCAACUUAGUUGGAGUUGUAGCUACUGAUUGGACUUGUUGUUUCCGUCUGUGUGUGGGUGUGACAAUGAGUCACGACGGCAGUGCCGCACUGGAAAAGAGAGGGGAGGCGUAGUUAGCUAUUGGUUAGAGACUCGUGCUGAUAACGUGUUAUAAAAUAAUAUAAGAACAAGAACAAUAGAGA